rnacentral:lncRNA from 1 species
GGUUACCAUGGUGACCUUGCAGCAGGGCUACAAACGGAGAAGAAUGGGCCAAAUUUCCUGUCCGUUGUUUUUAAAGAACUCCUUUUAAGAAAUCUUUGUGGGGAACUUGAAAUAUGUUUGUUUGAGGCAGACUACUGGCCUCUUUCUGUGUGACAAUGGACGGGGAAAGUAGAGCUGACUCUACCCCAGCACUGUGGCUUAUGCUGGAUCGACCAGAGUGUUGCUUUCUUCAUAUGGUCUAUUGAGACAAUAAAACCUCAGCUGAAAUUGUUGGAAGAGACCCAUCACAUCCCUCAUUGCUACCUGGGGACAGAGAGUGGAAUAAAAGUUGGUCCUGCUGCAGCAACUUGCAUCAAUGAAGAGAGAGUCAAACUAAGAAGAGCUGUUAAAUCAAGUAGUAUCUGAAGCCAUUAACCUUCAAUUAUGGGAAAUAAAUAUUUUCUAUUCUUGCAACCUAUCCAGUUGGGUGUUUUGGUCACUUUGCUCUAGAGAA